rnacentral:rRNA from 1 species
AUUGAACGCUGGCGGCAGGCCUAACACAUGCAAGUCGAGCGGAUGAGAGGAGCUUGCUUCUCGAUUCAGCGGCGGACGGGUGAGUAAUGCCUAGGAAUCUGCCUGGUAGUGGGGGACAACGUUUCGAAAGGAACGCUAAUACCGCAUACGUCCUACGGGAGAAAGCAGGGGACCUUCGGGCCUUGCGCUAUCAGACGAGCCUAGGUCGGAUUAGCUAGUUGGUGAGGUAAUGGCUCACCAAGGCGACGAUCCGUAACUGGUCUGAGAGGAUGAUCAGUCACACUGGAACUGAGACACGGUCCAGACUCCUACGGGAGGCAGCAGUGGGGAAUAUUGGACAAUGGGCGAAAGCCUGAUCCAGCCAUGCCGCGUGUGUGAAGAAGGUCUUCGGAUUGUAAAGCACUUUAAGUUGGGAGGAAGGGUACUUACCUAAUACGUGAGUAUUUUGACGUUACCGACAGAAUAAGCACCGGCUAACUCUGUGCCAGCCGCCGCAGUAAUAC